GUGGGGAAUCUUGCGCAAUGGGCGAAAGCCUGACGCAGCCAUGCCGCGUGAAUGAUGAAGGUCUUAGGAUUGUAAAAUUCUUUCACCGGGGACGAUAAUGACGGUACCCGGAGAAGAAGCUCCGGCUAACUUCGUGCCAGCAGCCGCGGUAAUACGAAGGGGGCUAGCGUUGCUCGGAAUUACUGGGCGUAAAGGGCGCGUAGGCGGACAGCUUAGUCAGAGGUGAAAGCCCAGGGCUCAACCUUGGAAUUGCCUUUGAUACUGGCUGUCUUGAGUUUGGGAGAGGUGAGUGGAACUCCGAGUGUAGAGGUGAAAUUCGUAGAUAUUCGCAAGAACACCGGUGGCGAAGGCGGCCAACUGGUCCAUUACUGACGCUGAGGUGCGAAAGCGUGGGGAGCAAACAGGAUUAGAUACCCUAGUAGUCC
rnacentral:rRNA from 1 species